UACGAAGGGGGCUAGCGUUGUUCGGAAUCACUGGGCGUAAAGCGCACGUAGGCGGGUUCUUAAGUCAGGGGUGAAAUCCCGAGGCUCAACCUCGGAACUGCCUUUGAUACUGGCGAGCUUGAGUCCGGGAGAGGUGAGUGGAACUGCGAGUGUAGAGGUGAAAUUCGUAGAUAUUCGCAAGAACACCAGUGGCGAAGGCGGCUCACUGGCCCGGUACUGACGCUGAGGUGCGAAAGCGUGGGGAGCAAACAGG
rnacentral:rRNA from 1 species